GAAAAAAGAAGAAGAAGAAGAAGAAGAAGAAGAAGAGGAGGAGAGGAGGAGGAGGAGAAAGAGGAGGAGAAAGAAGAAGAAGAAGAAGAAGAAGAAGACGAAGAAGAAGAAGAAGAAGAAGAAAAAGAAUAGAAGGAGAAAAAGAGGAGGGGGAGUAGGAGGAGAAAAAAGAAGAAGAAGAAGAAGAAGAAGAAAAAGAGGAGAGAGG
rnacentral:lncRNA from 1 species